AAGCAAAGCAGAGUGAAGAGACGGCGUCCUCGCAAUUUGUUCAUACAAUUAUUAUCCCAGUAAUCAUUAAAACUCGUAUCAAAAACUAAAUUUGCAUAAUCCACAAGAUAAGGUGACCGUGUGUGUGGAUGCCCACGAUAAAGAGGAAAACAAACAAGUGCUCGUCGGUCCCGAACAAUCGACGAAAUCUGUAGAAACACGUGAGAAAAUCAAGCUAAGCGCAUUUGGGAGUCAUUGACCGAAUUAGUCCCUUGACCUCUGUAUCUUCGUGUUGUACAGUCCUGACAGUUGAGCAGAGCAAGGAUAAAGGCGAAAAAUGAGCGACGACAGCAGUGACAGCGACUUUGAUGAGGAUCCGGACGAAAUCGGAGUCCCGGGUGGCGGUAAGGAUCUCGCUACGGUUAUGUCCAUCACGAGCUCGAACAAAAACGAGCCGCCGAAACCCUCCAACGUCGUGCCACAAGGUGUCAGUGGCCUCAAACAGCAGCCCUUGACCGUCCGGUAUAACCAACACAGGCCACCCGUCCCGAAUUUGCCCAAUUUCGGCACGCGCUUCGCCAACCACUCGAACAACUUGGUAGGGAUGCCUCAGGUGGUCAACCGCCCUGCCCAAGUCGGGCUCUCUGGCAAGGAAGUCUCGAAUAUGUGGAUGAACGCCGACACCAAGCAGAUGCCUGUCAUCAACCCUCAGGCCAUCAUUACCGAGGAAGACGAGGACGACGAGGAGAUGGGUGUCGCUGAGACUUAUGCCACUUACCGGCCGGCCAAGCUCAAACUCGGGAGGCCUCAUCCUGAUACCGUCGUUGAGACCGCGUCCUUGUCGAGUGUCGAGCCUGCGGACGUUUGGUACAAUCUGUCUAUUCCCAAUGACACCAUAAGAUCUGGAGCGCUGUCAGCUCUGCAACUCGAGUCCAUUACCUAUGCCUCUCAGCAGCAUGCUCAUCUCUUGCCCGAUGGCUCUAGGGCUGGCUUUUUUAUUGGUGACGGUGCUGGUGUUGGCAAGGGCCGUACCAUCGCUGGUAUUAUAUUUGAGAACUACUGUAAGGGAAGGAAAAAAGCCAUUUGGGUUUCCGUGUCCAAUGACUUGAAGUACGAUGCCGAACGCGAUCUCAUGGACAUAGGAGCGUCCCAGGUCAAAGUUUAUGCACUCAACAAAUUCAAGUACGGCAAGUUGUCGUCGAGUACGAAUGGGAAUGUUAAAAAAGGUGUCAUAUUCAGUACCUAUUCGGCUCUUAUUGGUGAAACAGGCUUAACGAGCUUAGGUACAAAGUACACCAGUAGAUUAAAGCAAUUGGUGCAGUGGUGCGGUGAGGAUUUUGAUGGUUUAAUAGUAUUUGACGAAUGUCACAGGGCAAAGAACCUUUGUCCCUCUGUUAGUUCGAAACCCAGCAAAACAGGUCUAACAGUAUUGGAGUUGCAAAACAAGUUACCAAAAGCAAGAGUCGUUUAUGCCAGUGCAACUGGUGCUUCUGAGCCGAAAAACAUGGCUUACAUGGUACGUCUGGGCAUGUGGGGCAAGGGAAGUCCAUUUUCGACUUUCAAUGAUUUCAUCGUAGCAGUGGAAAGGCGUGGAGUUGGCGCUAUGGAGAUCGUGGCCAUGGACAUGAAGCUCAGGGGAAUGUAUAUUGCACGACAACUUGGCUUCCAAGGAGUCACGUUCAAAAUCGAAGAAGUUCCUCUGUCCGAAGAUUUUAAAAAAACGUAUGAUCAGGCUGUUAAACUGUGGGUCGAGGCAAUGCAAAAGUUCCAUGAAGCAUCAAAUCUUAUACAGGCCGAAAGUCGAAUGAAAAAAACGAUGUGGAGUCAAUUUUGGUCGUCGCACCAACGGUUCUUCAAGUACUUGUGCAUCGCCGCAAAAGUCAAGCACACGAUAAGUUUAGCUCGAGAGGCACUCAAAUGCGGCAAGUGUGUAGUCAUAGGUUUGCAGUCAACUGGCGAAGCUCGAACUCUCGAACAAUUGGAACGCGAAGAUGGAGAACUUAAUGAUUUUGUGUCCACUGCUAAGGGAGUCUUUCAAUCUCUAGUCGAAAAACACUUCCCAGCACCCAAUAGAAAUAAUAUUAAUCGCGUGUUAGGAUUAAAUUUACCUCUGUCGAAUUCAGAUUCUUGGAUGAACCCUAGCAAAAGGAAAAUAGUGCAGCCCCCGAUUCAACCAGCUCCAAAGAAAAUCCGUAUUCUCGACUUGUCUGAUGACGAAUCAGUGGAACCGGAGAACGGAAAAUCAGACUCAAAUUCUGUAGUCAAACAAAUUGAUUCAGAAAGCGAAGACGAUGCGCAAUCCGACGAAGAGAAUAGUGACGUUAACUCGGACUACAAUCCGUUUGACAGCGAUAGCGAUUCAGACGUCGAUCCUUGGGAUAGAAGAAAAAAGAAAGAAGGAAAGAAAACCCUGAAGAAAAAAUCUAAAAAAUCAAAAGCUAACAACACUUCAACUCAAGAUACAAUACAGGCAAUGCUGAUGAAGAAAUCUGCACCGAGUACAACCAUGAUUUCAACAGCUUUGAAGACAACAACAGCAACAACAACAGUACAACCUACAGCAAUGAAGACAAUAAAUAUGGGUGUGGGAAGAAAGAGCAACGGUGUAGCAAGCUCUUCCUCUUCUGUAUCUACUUUGGCGCCCAGUCCAAUGAUUUCAAGUAAUGAAACACGUGAUCAGAAUGCAUCUGCGAAUAGCAUCGACCGUGCUUGUAACAUGAAAGAAGAAUUGCUAGCGAAAAUCGAGACUCUUGGCGUGGUACUGCCUCCCAAUACCUUGGAUCAGCUAAUCGACGAGCUUGGCGGUACAGAAAAUGUAGCUGAAAUGACGGGUCGAAAGGGCCGCGUCGUACAGACCGACGAUGGCUCUGUCAAGUACGAAACGAGAUCAGAAAUCGACGUGCCACUCGAAACCCUCAACCUCACCGAAAAACAGAGAUUCAUGAACGGCGAGAAGACGGUAGCGAUAAUUUCCGAGGCUGCGAGCAGUGGGAUAUCGCUACAAAGCGAUCGCCGAGCGCGAAAUCAGAUGCGUCGUGUUCACAUAACGUUGGAGCUGCCCUGGAGCGCUGAUCGGGCUAUCCAGCAGUUCGGUAGGACGCACCGUUCGAAUCAAGUAAACGCGCCUGAGUACGUAUUUCUCAUAUCAAAUCUGGCUGGUGAGCGAAGGUUCGCUUCGACUGUCUCCAAGAGAUUGGAAAGCCUCGGUGCCCUCACCCACGGGGAUCGACGAGCCACCGAAACUCGAGACUUGUCGCAAUUCAACAUUGACAAUAAGUACGGGCGUGCGGCCCUAGAAACUACCAUGAGGGCAAUAAUGGGAUUCGAGAAGCCAUUGGUACCGCCACCGCAGGACUACCGAGGCAACUUUUUCAAAGAUAUUGCCGUUGCUCUGGUAGGCGUCGGGCUGAUCUACAACGAGAACGGAAGCUACUCUUUGGACAAGGACUACAACAAUAUAACGAAAUUUUUGAACCGAAUCCUUGGCGUCCCGGUCGAGCUGCAGAACUAUCUGUUCCAAUAUUUCACGGAUACCCUCAACGCCAUAAUCACGCAUGCAAAGAGGUCUGGUCGGUUUGACAUGGGCAUCCUCGACCUCGGAGCUUCGGGAGAGUCUGUACGUCGCGUGAAACUUAUCCGCUUCCUUCGAAAGCACGCGACGGGUAUCGCACCUACAGAGUUGCACAUAGUUCACGUCGAACGCGGUAUGAACUGGGAGGAUGCAGAAAGUCGGUGGACUCAAACGGAGGAUGUCUUUGAGGGUUUCUAUCUGAGCCAUCACGUGCGCAACGGCAAAAGAUCAGUCCUGCUGGCAGUUUGUGGCAGUGAGUUGAAAAAAACCGAGUCCAAGAGAGACCAGCUUUACAUAUUGUACAGGCCAAACACCGGAUUGCAGCUGCGCCAAGAGACGCUCACAGAACUUGAGAAGAAGUACAAAAAGGUAAGAGAGGAGGAAGCAAGAGCUCACUGGAUCUCGCAGUAUCAGGCCUCGCUAACUACGUGCUCGCAUGCGUAUUGGCGUGGCAAUUGCAAGAACGCUACCGUAGGUCUAGAAUGCGAGACCGGCCUAAGACGUCGGUCCUACAAUGUAUUAUCUGGUUCUGUGCUCAGUGUGUGGAGCCAAGUCGAGACUAUACUGGCCUCGCGUCUUGGUAACAACUCCAAAAUGCAAGUUGUACGAUUGCGUACGGAGGAUGAUAUCAAGAUAGUGGGCACCCUCAUACCCAAGUCAUGUAUGGAUGCGCUGCGACAUGUCUUGCAGACCAAUGCCGAAAAAGUAGAGGAGCAAAACUUUUAGUUGUUCGUAACCAGAUCUCAAGUUUAUCUUACAUUAGUAGAUUUAUAAAUGUCAACCGCCUCAUCAUCUUUAUACUGGCAAAUCGUCGUUUUGAUUUGAAAUACUUUCAUUGUCAUAAAAUUCCGAGCGAACCGCUAGAUUUCAUUUGUAAGUGUAAAUGUUAUUGUAAAUAAUUUAAAUCACGAUUAAAUUGAUUAACGUGUAUUUUUUUUUAAAUACAGGCUGCAAAAAAAUUCACGAAUUUUUCUCAUUGACACUUUGAAGCACGUGGCUUUGUAAUGUUGAACGCGAACGUAUGAAGAUUUACUCAAUCGGCUUAACGCCUCGUUGAAGCCUUUUAAUUUCAAAAGUGAAGACUUUGACGACAACUACGUGUUUGAAGAUAGUAUAUAGUUGUAGGAUUUUAGAAUUUUUACAAAAGUGUUGAAUUAGAAAAAUUGUACGUGCCUUUUGCCAAAGAAAUCGCAGUGUGAACUUUUACGUUUAUUACAUUUAAAUGAUAGAACUCAAGUGUGUUGUUGAUGAUGUUUGGCUGAGUUGCCACAAAGUUUUAUAAUUUAUCCCUUGUGAUGAUGUUUUGUAAGUUUUCGUAAUAAAUAGAUCUAUUUUUA
rnacentral:misc_RNA from 1 species